UACGGAGGGGGCUAGCGUUGUUCGGAAUUACUGGGCGUAAAGCGCACGUAGGCGGAUUGGAAAGUUGGGGGUGAAAUCCCGGGGCUCAACCCCGGAACUGCCUCCAAAACUCCCAGUCUGGAGGUCGAGAGAGGUGAGUGGAAUUCCGAGUGUAGAGGUGAAAUUCGUAGAUAUUCGGAGGGACACCAGUGGCGAAGGCGGCUCACUGGCUCGAUACUGACGCUGAGGUGCGAAAGCGUGGGGAGCAAACAGG
rnacentral:rRNA from 1 species